rnacentral:rRNA from 1 species
GGGGAUUGGAGUCUGCAACUCGACUCCAUGAAGUCGGAAUCGCUAGUAAUCGUGGAUCAGAAUGCCACGGUGAAUACGUUCCCGGGCCUUGUACACACCGCCCGUCACACCAUGGGAGUGGGUUGCAAAAGAAGUAGGUAGCUUAACCUUCGGGAGGGCGCUUACCACUUUGUGAUUCAUGACUGGGGUGAAGUCGUAACAAGGUAACCGUAGGGGAACCUGCGGUUGGAUCACCUCCUUA